rnacentral:rRNA from 1 species
AUUGAACGCUGGCGGCAUGCCUUACACAUGCAAGUCGAACGGCAGCACGGGGCAACCUGGUGGCGAGUGGCGAACGGGUGAGUAAUGCAUCGGAACGUGCCAUUGAGUGGGGGAUAACGUAGCGAAAGUUGCGCUAAUACCGCAUAUUCUGUGAGCAGGAAAGCAGGGGACCGCAAGGCCUUGCGCUCUUUGAGCGGCCGAUGUCAGAUUAGCUAGUUGGUGAGGUAACGGCUUACCAAGGCGACGAUCUGUAGCGGGUCUGAGAGGAUGAUCCGCCACACUGGAACUGAGACACGGUCCAGACUCCUACGGGAGGCAGCAGUGGGGAUUUUUGGACAAUGGGCGCAAGCCUGAUCCAGCCAUGCCGCGUGAGUGAAGAAGGCC